AGAGGAAGUAAAAGUCGUAACAAGGUUUCCGUAGGUGAACCUGCGGAAGGAUCAUUAUUGAAAUAAACCUGAUGGGUUGUUGCUGGUUCUCUAGGGAGCAUGUGCACGCCUUGUCAUCUUUAUAUCUCCACCUGUGCACUUUUUGUAGGCCUUUCAGGUCUAUGUUGCUUCAUUUACCCCAAUGUAUGUCAAUAGAAUGUUGUGCCUAUUUAAUAUAUACAACUUUCAGCAACGGAUCUCUUGGCUCUCGCAUCGAUGAAGAACGCAGCGAAAUGCGAUAAGUAAUGUGAAUUGCAGAAUUCAGUGAAUCAUCGAAUCUUUGAACGCACCUUGCGCUCCUUGGUAUUCCGAGGAGCAUGCCUGUUUGAGUGUCAUUAAUAUAUAUAUCAACCUUCUCUUUUUGAGUGGUUUGGAUGUGGGGGUUUGCUGGCCUUGUAAAGGGUUCAGCUCCCCUGAAAUGCAUUAGCAGAACAACCCUGUUCAUUGGUGUGAUAACUAUCUACGCUAUUGAAUGUAAGGGGGCAGUUCAGCUUUCUAACAGUCCUCGGACAAUUCAUCAUUAAUGUGACCUCAAAUCAGGUAGGACUACCCGCUGAACUUAAGCAUAUCA
rnacentral:rRNA from 1 species